GAUGAACGCUGGCGGCGUGCCUAAUACAUGCAAGUCGAGCGAACGGACGAGGAGCUUGCUCCUCUGAUGUUAGCGGCGGACGGGUGAGUAACACGUGGAUAACCUACCUAUAAGACUGGGAUAACUUCGGGAAACCGGAGCUAAUACCGGAUGAUAUUUUGAACCGCAUGGUUCAAAAGUGAAAGACGGUCUUGCUGUCACUUAUAGAUGGAUCCGCGCCGCAUUAGCUAGUUGGUAAGGUAACGGCUUACCAAGGCAACGAUGCGUAGCCGACCUGAGAGGGUGAUCGGCCACACUGGAACUGAGACACGGUCAAGCCUCCUACGGGAGGCAGCAGUAGGGAAUCUUCCGCAAUGGGCGAAAGCCUGACGGAGCAACGCCGCGUGAGUGAUGAAGGUCUUCGGAUCGUAAAACUCUGUUAUUAGGGAAGAACAUAUGUGUAAGUAACUGUGCACGUCUUGACGGUACCUAAUCAGAAAGCCACGGCUAACUACGUG
rnacentral:rRNA from 1 species